rnacentral:snRNA from 1 species
GGAUGUGAGGGCGAUCUGGCUGCGACAUCUGUCACCCCAUUGAUCGCCAGGGUUGAUUCGGCUGAUCUGGCUGGCUAGGCGGGUGUCCCCUUCCUCCCUCACCGCUCCAUGUGCGUCCCUCCCGAAGCUGCGCGCUCGGUCGAAGAGGACGACCAUCCCCGAUAGAGGAGGACCGUUCUUCCGUCAAGGGUAUGCGAGUAGCUGCGCUCCCCUGCUAGAACCUCCAAACAAGCUCUCAAAAAUACCUUUUCAACAUCUCAUUUUUCCAAUCUCGUUCAUCUCCUGAGGUACAGAU